rnacentral:rRNA from 1 species
AUUGAACGCUGGCGGCAGGCCUAACACAUGCAAGUCGAACGAGUGGCGGACGGGUGAGUAAUGUCUGGGAAACUGCCUGAUGGAGGGGGAUAACUACUGGAAACGGUAGCUAAUACCGCAUACCAUCGGAUGUGCCCAGAUGGGAUUAGCUAGUCGGUGGGGUAACGGCUCACCUAGGCGACGAGCCCUAGCUGGUCUGAGAGGAUGACCAGCCACACUGGAACUGAGACACGGUCCAGACUCCUACGGUAGGCAGCAGUGGGGAAUAUUGCACAAUGGGAGAAAGCCUGAUACAGCAAUGCCGCGUGAGUGAAGAAGGCCUGCGGGUUGUAAAGCACUUUCAGCAGGGAGGCGUUACCCGCAGAAGAAGCACCGGCUAACUCCGUGCCAGCAGCCGCGGUAAUUC